AUAUCCAACGUGGGCUAACCACUCGUCUAGGAAAGAAAAUAAGCAGAUGGUUGCCCACAGAACACAUCUUACAUUCGGGCUGUGGAGUCCGCCAAGAGAGCGAUCACAGUGGAGUUACUGAAACUGUCAAUUCUGGGGUUCAAACAGUUCCUGUAAACUCAGCUUUCAACACAGCCGAAGAAAAGACCUCCGUGAAGGAAGGAGCACCGUCUCCAUUUGUCUUUCUGGAGUUACUGGGCUCAUUAAUUCAGGCGCUCUGAUAAUGGGUCUAAGUGGGAAGAACCCAUUUUCUCAAUUAUCCUUGUCAGAUAAGCAUGGCAGCAGUGAAAUGA